GCUCAGAUUGAACGCUGGCGGCAGGCCUAACACAUGCAAGUCGAACGGUAACAGGAAACAGCUUGCUGUUUCGCUGACGAGUGGCGGACGGGUGAGUAAUGUCUGGGAAACUGCCUGAUGGAGGGGGAUAACUACUGGAAACGGUAGCUAAUACCGCAUAACGUCGCAAGACCAAAGAGGGGGACCUUAGGGCCUCUUGCCAUCGGAUGUGCCCAGAUGGGAUUAGCUAGUAGGUGGGGUAAAGGCUCACCUAGGCGACGAUCCCUAGCUGGUCUGAGAGGAUGACCAGCCACACUGGAACUGAGACACGGUCCAGACUCCUACGGGAGGCAGCAGUA
rnacentral:rRNA from 1 species